AUUUUUUUUCUUCUAUGAACAUUAAAGCAAGAUUCCAUUCUAUUGUUUUUGACAGUAAAACGUUACAUUUGAACGUUCUCGCAACAUUUCAAACACCCAUGUUUUAUAUUUAAAGACCAUUCCUUCUUGGCUAAGCAAACGUUAGAGGAAUAUUAGAUUUGAAAAGCCUUUAAGAAAAACGUUAAACAUUCAAAACACACACACACACACACACACACACACAAGACUCCAGCAGAGACACACGGAGGUGAGGAGCACACACACACACACACACACACACACACACACAAGACUCCAGCAGAGACACACGGAGGUGAGGAGCACACACACACACACACACACACACACACACACAAGACUCCAGCAGAGACACACGGAGGUGAGGAGCACACACACACACACACACACACACACACACACAAGACUCCAGCAGAGACACACGGAGGUGAGGAGCACACACACACACACACACACACACACACACACAAGACUCCAGCAGAGACACACGGAGGUGAGGAGCACACACACACACACACACACACACACACACACAAGACUCCAGCAGAGACACACGGAGGUGAGGAGCACACACACACACACACACACACACACACACACAAGACUCCAGCAGAGACACACGGAGGUGAGGAGCACACACACACACACACACACACACACACACACAAGACUCCAGCAGAGACACACGGAGGUGAGGAGCACACACACACACACACACACACACACACACACAAGACUCCAGCAGAGACACACGGAGGUGAGGAGCACACACACACACACACACACACACACACACACAAGACUCCAGCAGAGACACACGGAGGUGAGGAGCACACACACACACACACACACACACACACACACAAGACUCCAGCAGAGACACACGGAGGUGAGGAGCACACACACACACACACACACACACACACACACAAGACUCCAGCAGAGACACACGGAGGUGAGGAGCACACACACACACACACACACACACACACACACAAGACUCCAGCAGAGACACACGGAGGUGAGGAGCACACACACACACACACACACACACACACACACAAGACUCCAGCAGAGACACACGGAGGUGAGGAGCACACACACACACACACACACACACACACACACAAGACUCCAGCAGAGACACACGGAGGUGAGGAGCACACACACACACACACACACACACACACACACAAGACUCCAGCAGAGACACACGGAGGUGAGGAGCACACACACACACACACACACACACACACACACAAGACUCCAGCAGAGACACACGGAGGUGAGGAGCACACACACACACACACACACACACACACACACAAGACUCCAGCAGAGACACACGGAGGUGAGGAGCACACACACACACACACACACACACACACACACAAGACUCCAGCAGAGACACACGGAGGUGAGGAGCACACACACACACACACACACACACACACACACAAGACUCCAGCAGAGACACACGGAGGUGAGGAGCACACACACACACACACACACACACACACACACAAGACUCCAGCAGAGACACACGGAGGUGAGGAGCACACACACACACACACACACACACACACACACAAGACUCCAGCAGAGACACACGGAGGUGAGGAGCACACACACACACACACACACACACACACAUAUAUAUAUAUAUAUAUAUACUAUAUAUUAAGGAUGUUUUAUGUG
ensembl:lncRNA